GCCUUCGUGGUGUAAUGAUAAGCACGCGCGACGCGUAACCGAGAGGUCCAGGGUUCGAUUCCCGGCGAAGGCG
rfam:Stegodyphus mimosarum contig43685, whole genome shotgun sequence.